CCUCAUUGCCAUAUUGUUCCUUGUCUGAACUCAACGCUCCCCUACAUUGUGUACCCCUCAUUGGCUGUUUUUCCCUGCCUCUUACUGAAGCCAAGGGCACGGAGGAAUGGGGUUUGAAAUCACAGAUGGAGGAAUUUUCUGGAUGACCUAGAGGAGCAGAUAAGAUUGGGGAGAAAAAAAACACAAGAGAGGAUAAAUGACGAUCAAGGACCCCUGCUGAUCAACUUCCAUCAUAUUCACUGCAGCUUAAAGGCGGUGGAUGAUGGUGCACUUCAACACAGCUGAAACGCAGUCGCACUGUACAAAGACAUGAAAACCAGUGUUCAGCGUGUCAGAAGCAAUCAGCUCAAUCAGAAUGAAGGAACAAGACCCAAACACUUCCACUAUUUGUUGUUUCACAGAGG